rnacentral:misc_RNA from 1 species
GUGAGAUGAUGAGCAGGGAAUUUCGUCGUGGGGAAGAAGAACCGAGCGAGCUUGAAGUAGUUUGUUUGGAGGCCAGACGGUUGAUUGCUGAGAGAGAGAUUUUGUCUCCAAAGGCUGAAGUUGAUGAGGAGGAGUUCCAAUUUGACAUAGAUUAUGAGGAAGCAGGAUACGGUUCUAGUCCAAAAAUGGCCUCUGAGGACUUCGUGAGCAGGAACCCGUUUCAGUUUCCAUUUGGAGGAGGAAAUGGCCGCACUCAACUCUUUAAGCUAGAUGAAAGCAUCGAGGAAGAAGAAAGUGAAGAGGAGGAGGAUACAAGCGUCAACUGUGUUCCAGCCCCCGCAAAGAAUGUGGAGGAGUUAAAACUAUCAAUGUCCCUCAAGAAUAUUAGUUUAGGUGACAAGAACCAGAAGCAUCCUUAUUUUUCUGGAACCAAACCAGAAAAUGCCCAUCUCGCCAACUCUUCAUCUGGCCACAGGAGUGCGAAUGAGCAGCUCCCUGUGAGUUCCAGCUUUGUGAAGCUAGCAGAUAUGGGUGAAGAGGAAUGGCGUCUGUUUCUAGAGAAGUUCCAGGAGCUACUGUACCCAGCUUUUGCCAAGCGCAAGUCAGUCGCCCUUGGUCAGAGGCAGAUACAAA